GUUUGAACAUUGAGAAUCUGAACCAACAGCAACCAUGAGCUUCAUCACCAUCUUCAUCUGGAUAUUAACUGUCUACUGUUUCACAGAAUCAAGAGGUGAAGUGACAGUCACUCAGACGCCUGCAGUGAAAUCUGUUCGUCCAGGAGACUCAGUUACUGUAUCCUGUAAAACCAGUCCUGACGUCUAUCAGGGUUGGGGUGUUCAGCCUCUAUCCUGGUACUUACAGAAACCUGGAGAAGCUCUUAAACUUCUGAUUUAUUAUGCAAACACCCUCCAGUCAGGAACUCCAUCUAGAUUCAGUGGCAGUGGAUCUAACAGAGAUUUCACUCUGACCAUCAGUGGAGUCCAGACUGAAGAUGCUGGACAUUAUUACUGUAUGAGUGGACACUAUCCAAACAGUCAAUAUGUGUUCACACAGUGAUAAAGAGUCGUACAAAAACCUCCGUCAGUCAGAGUCAGAGUGACUGAACUGAUACUGCAGCUGCUCACACACUUUCACACACUUUCACACACUACUGACACACAGAGGACAAACACAGGAACUACACAUGUGCUCAAAACUGACUUAUGACUGAAAUUCGCUCUAUUUGAUUGUGAUCUGUCCUGUGACAGACGGGUUUGACUCAAAUAUGCUCAGAAUCAGAGAAAACAGAGUGUGUAAAUUAAUAUGAAAUCAAAUUAACAAU